rnacentral:sRNA from 1 species
CCGGGCUGGCCGCGGGGAUGUUGCCCUACACAGUGAACUUCAAGGUGUCGGCGCGCACCCUCACGGGGGCCCUCAACGCCCACAACAAGGCGGCGGUGGACUGGUGAGGGCGCCGAGCUUCCAGGGGCUGGCAAGGUUUAAUUGCUUAUGGAUGUCAUUCACUUGUGGUAGUGAUUGAUUCCAUUACUGCCCAAACUCUUCAAGUUUUAGAAAAGCAUAAAGCUGAUGUUGUCAAGGUUAAAUGGGCCAGGGAAAACUAUCACCAUAACAUUGGCUCACCAUAUUGCUUGCGGUUAGCUUCUGCUGAUGUCAAUGGGAAGAUCAUCGUCUGGGAUGUAGCAGCAGGAGUAGCUCAGUGUGAGAUCCAAGAGCAUGCCAAGCCUAUCCAGGUGCUUACCAGCGAGGGUAUUGUUUUCAUCUCAGACUUCUCCCCAUCCAAGCCUCCCUCAGGCCCUGGGAAAAAAGUUUACAUAUCCAGCCCACACUCUAGCCCAGCUCAUAACAAGCUGGCCACAGCCACAGGUGCCAAGAAAGCUCUAAAUAAAGUAAAAAUUUUAAUCACUCA